GGGUUGUGAGGUUAAGCGACUAAGCGUACACGGUGGAUGCCCUGGCAGUCAGAGGCGAUGAAGGACGUGCUAAUCUGCGAUAAGCGUCGGUAAGGUGAUAUGAACCGUUAUAACCGGCGAUUUCCGAAUGGGGAAACCCAGUGUGAUUCGUCACACUAUCAUUAACUGAAUCCAUAGGUUAAUGAGGCGAACCGGGGGAACUGAAACAUCUAAGUACCCCGAGGAAAAGAAAUCAACCGAGAUUCCCCCAGUAGCGGCGAGCGAACGGGGAGGAGCCCAGAGCCUGAAUCAGUGUGUGUGUUAGUGGAAGCGUCUGGAAAGGCGCGCGAUACAGGGUGACAGCCCCGUACACAAAAAUGCACAUAUUGUGAGCUCGAUGAGUAGGGCGGGACACGUGGUAUCCUGUCUGAAUAUGGGGGGACCAUCCUCCAAGGCUAAAUACUCCUGACUGACCGAUAGUGAACCAGUACCGUGAGGGAAAGGCGAAAAGAACCCCG
rnacentral:rRNA from 1 species